AGGGCGUUUGGAACAUGUGGCGUUUAGGAGGAAUCUCUCCGAGGGCAGACGGUGUCGCAAGUCCCCCUGAACGGGGCUGUGAUCCAGAGCGGGUGCGAGGCCCAUAGCUGGUACCGUCUCCUUUGGGUGUCCCCUCCUUGGAGUCGGGUUGCUUGGGAGUGCAGCCCUAAUUGGGUGGUAAACUCCACCUAAGGCUAAAUACGUCCGUGAGACCGAUAGCAAACAAGUACCGUGAGGGAAAGUUGCAAAGAACUUUGAAGAGAGAGUUCAAGAGUACGUGAAACCGCUCAGAGGCAAACGGGUGGGCCCACGAAAGCCGAAGGCGGGGGGAUUCAGUCGAGAGGACGGUGGGGCAGGACUGGCUGGUUGGACGGACCGUGCCAGGCCGGGUCAGUUCCCGAGAUCUGCCGCCUUUCGACGCAUUUCCCCCUGCUUAGUAGGACGCCGCAACCGGUUGGCGCUGCAGCCAUAAGGGAGAGUAAAUGGAAGGUAGCCAGUGAGUUCUUCUUCGGAGGCGCGAGCUGGUCCUAAGCCGACUCUCCUGGUGCUUGUGGCCCGACCGUGGUCGUGAGUCCCUCAACGGGAUGUCGCCGAGCCCUCUGACUGGAGCGGGAGAAAUGGCAGGCUGCUUUCCGCGGAAAAAAUCGAUCGCUUCACGCGUGCAGUGGGCGAUCUCCGGAGGUAGCUGCUGGUGCAUUUUUCUCCUGCGCUGGGCACAGGCAGUUGGCGGCGAGUAGGUCGGUCACCCACCCGACCCGUCUUGAAACACGGACCAAGGAGUCUAACAUGUGCGCGAGUCAUUGGGUCUUGAACAAGCCCAAAGGCGCAAUGAAAGUGAAGACCAGCACUGAAGCUGGUGGAGUUGGGAAACUGCGUCACUGAAGAUGCAGUUGCACCAACGGCCCGUCCCGUCCGCAUCGUCGGUGGGGCGGAGCGAGAGCGUACACGUUGGGACCCGAAAGAUGGUGAACUAUGCCUGGGCAGGACGAAGCCAGA
rnacentral:rRNA from 1 species